AUAUUGUCUAGGUAGGCAGCUCACUAAUGUUGUCUAGGUAGGCAGCUCACUAAUGUUGUCUAGGUAGGCAGCUCACUAAUGCUGUCUAGGUAGGCAGCUCACUAAUGCUGUCUAGGUAGGCAGCUCACUAAUGCUGUCUAGGUAGGCAGCUCACUAAUGCUGUCUAGGUAGGCAGCUCACU